CAGUUCAGGGCCCUGAGUCCAGUUCAGCUCCUGGCCCAGUUCAGGGCCCUGAGCCCAGUUCAGCUCCUGGCCCAGUUCAGGGUCCUGGGCCCAGUUCAGGGCUCUGGGCCUAGUUCAGCGCUCUGGGCCUAGUUCAGCUCCUGGCCCAGUUCAGGGCUCUGGGCCCAGUUAAGCUCCUGGCCCAGUUCAGGGCCCUGAGCCCAGUUCAGGGUUCUGGGCCCAGUUCAGCGUCCUGGGUCCAGUUCAGGGCUCUGGGCCUAGUUCAGGGCUCUGGGCCUAGUUCAGCUCCUGGUCCAGUUCAGGGCCCUGAGCCCAGUUCAGGGCUCUGGGCCUAGUUCAGCUCCUGGUCCAGUUCAGGGCCCUGAGCCCAGUUCAGGGCUCUGGACCCAGUUCAGCUCCUGGCCCAGUUCAGGGCCCUGGGCCCAGUUCAGGGCUCUGGGCCCAGUUCAGCUCCUGGCCUAGUUCAGGGUCCUGGGUCCAGUUCAGUGCUCUGGGCCCAGUUCAGCUCCUGGCCCAGUUCAGGGCCCUGGGCCCAGUUCAGGGCCCUGAGCCCAGUUCAGGGCUCUGGGCCCACUCGGGCGCCGUACUGGUUUGGGGCCGCCUCCCAGUUACGCGUACCCCUCGUUCACUCCGCUUCCGUAUCGGCCAAUCAGCGCACGCAGAGCGGGAAUUCAGCAGCCAAUGGCGGCGCGGGGGGCGGGACGGACGUUGCCGUGGGGACCGCGCUGUGGCGGGCGCCCCCGGGUCCUUCUGCCCGCCGGCAGCCACCCUCGGGAUCACACCGUGUCCCCUCCCUGGGACACCCCUGUCCCCAUGGGGGGGCCCAAUGUCCCCUCCUGGGGACACCUCUGUCCCCAUGGGAGACCGCUGCGUCCCCCCCAGGACUCUCCUGUCCCUCCCAGAGAUGUGCCCCCCUGCCCAGUACUGUAGGGGACACG